GGGGGAAAGGGGUAAAUGGGGUUUUGGUUUAAACUGUAUUUAUUAUCUAAGUUAUCUAGCAAGUCUUAGAGGAGUAGGGCAUCAAUCCCACUACACAGAGAGAUCAAGAGAUUGGAAGAGCA